UAGUAGGAGUAGUAGGCCAUUUUGGACACAGCCCGUGAGUGAGUGAGGUACUUCCUUUCUGGCAUGAGAGCCUUGGGAAUCAAUCUCCCUGUUGCAGCAAAGGAUUGUGGGUAAAACCGUGAGUGAGGGAGGUACAUUUUUCCUGGCAUGAGAACCUCAGGAGUCAGUCCUUCCUAAGAAAAAAGAGGGGAGGGGGGAAGAAAAACAAAAGCACAGGAACCCUAAAAUAAAAUAAAAUAAUAUAAAACAAUGAAAAAAUAAAAGAAGAACAAAAGUGGAUUGCAAAAGGGAAAGGGGAAGAAAAAAGGAAAAAAAGAAGUGUCAAGAGCAAAUAGCAAAAAUCAGAAGUGAGCUUAAAAACAGAGAACAGUUCCCUAAAAGAAAGACAGAAAUGUAAAUCUGAUCAAUGUCCUAAGGGAAAAUCUGUACGUGUGUGUGUGUGUGUUCUUUUUUGCUAACUUAGUCUGGUGUCACUGAUGGUCAGUUAUUGAUAAGUAUUUAUUAUUUAAAUUUUUGAUGAAGUUGUUUGUAGUGGGGUUAGCUGGCUAAUUUUAGAGUGUUAAAAAGAUGUUAGAGGGGGAGGAUUUAGGGGGCACGGCGGUUCCCCUUCAGGUCUCUCUUAAUCCUCCAUAUAGGUGACCCAACAGGGGUUACCCCCCGGCCGGGGUAGGCCUAGGCUGAAGAUCACCUAUUUGUCCUCUGUGAAGGUGAAAAUAAAGGGGCAGGGGAGGGAAUAAGAAAGGGGGGGUGUUAGAGAGAGGGGGAGAGAUGAGGGGGAGAGAUGAGGGAGAGAGAUGAGGGGGAGAGAGAGAGAGAGAGAGAGAGAGAGAGAGAGAGUGGUGUGUGUGUGUGUGUGUGUGUGUGUGUGUGUGAGAGAGAGAGAGAGAGAGAGAAGGGAAGAGGGAGAGGGGGGUUUAAGGGAGAGGUGGAGAUGGUGGAAAAUAAAGAUUGGUGAGGGGGAUUUGGUGGCGGAUGAAACAUCCCAUAGCUCCCCAGCUCUCACCAUCCAUGUGAGGAGAGUGAGCAAGGGACAUAGUCCCCCGACCCGACUAGAUCUAGGCUCUGCUCUCCUCACGGUCCUCACAAGAUACAAAGAGAUAUGUAAACGUGGAAGUGAGAGUUCUCUAGGCAGAGUUUUGGGUUUGGUUUGAGCUGAGUUGGUCAGUUGAUUAUUGAUUACUAUUUUAAGUUCUAAAAGUGGAUAGAGUCAAAAAGUCACAGAGGAUUGUGGUGGGAGCAGGUGGUCCGUCUGGCACCAUUCUGCUCAUGCAGGGAUUCGAGUGAUAGAAAGAGAAUCCGGCUGUUAAGCGUGACGUCAUUUUGUGAGCGGAGCGGCUUCCGGGUCCAUGGGGAAUCAGCCUCCAUUCACUCUCCAUUCAAAACAACAAUGGCGGAACCCGUGAAUCUCUUUAAAAUAACCUCCUUUUUCAGAAGGGAACCACUCAGAGUUAAAAAGGGACUUAAAGCUUUCAACUCGGAUAGAGUUAUUAACGUAAAUUUUAGUGAUGGCGAGAUGAAGCCUCAUGAAGCAUCAAAGCUUUUCAUCCAAUUACUCACCUCCUGGGCCGAAGCUUCAUGAUCGUGCUUCAUUUGCUCUAUUGCGCCAUCAAGUGGACAAUAAAUGUAAAACGAUAAACCAAAGACACCCCGAGGCUUUGGUGCGCAAAGCUUUGAAUUCAAUGAAUGAAUGGAUGUGAUGCCGUGUGUUUGUGAUACGAUAAUAGACUGUAUACAGUCUAUGGAUACAAUACAGAAAUGAUAAAGUCAUUUUGUUGUCUUUGUUGUUGGGAGGAAAUAUGUAGAAUGAUAGUUUAGUCGCUGCUUUUGUCUCUGAUCAGUUUAAGCAGCAAGGGACAUAGCACUGAGGCAUUAUAACGACAACUUCGCUGGACCCGGAAGUGGAAAAAGAGAACGCGGCUACGUCACGGCUUAACAGCCGGAUAGAUCUUGCCACCGUGACUCGCCAUUGAGACUCUCCUCACCUGCUGGUUCUCAUCCUCUGAUAGGAGAGAGAGGUACAGAUCAGGAGAGAGGGAGAAAAGGAGGGGGGCAGGGUGGGGUCAGGAGUUAAUUUGUCUUGAAAAGUAUUUAUCUUUUCGUCAUUGCUGUUAGGGUUUAGAUGUUUUUUGUUUAGUUAUCUGUGGAAUGUAGUGUUAGUAUAGGUUCCAAGGUGGAGGAUUCUUUGGAAUUCACUCUCACCCUUGAACCUGGAAGAUCUUAGAUUCUAUAAAGGGGGGGAAAGGGGGGGGAGGGGGGGGCGGGGGUGAGAGGUUGUGUGCACAGAAGGAGCAUGGGCUCAGACUAUUCUCGGAAUGAUAUUGUGACAAGUCUGUCCGAAGGCAACUGGCUGGUUAGGUGUGGGAAAGAGAUACAGUGAUAGCCCCUGCUUUCGUCAGUUGACUUGGCGGUUUGGGGUAGGCUGAUCAAGGGCUUGCACUGGCUGGCGCAUGUCGACAUAUCACAUGUUCCCAGUCAAGUCUCCAAGCUCAAUCUGUGUGUAAAAAUUAUGUGUUGGUAGGAAGUUUAAUGACUCAGCUAAAUUAGUAUGCUAUGCUGUCUAUCUUUUAGACUAUGUGUUUGUAAAUUAUGUAAAUAUUAUAUUACAGGGCUAGGGUAAGGUUAAAGGUUUUUGGCGUUAGGGUUAAAAUCACUGUCCAAAACCUUUGUAGGAACUCUUUUCCAACCUUUAGGAGUUAGCUAGACCAAAAAAUAAAACAAAAAAAUGAAAAAAAAAAAUGUUUGGGGUGUGAAGGCUUCCUUAAGUUAAUACCCGGGUAUUAGGUUCGGGAAUAGGGUAAGGUUGAAGGUUUUUGGCGUUAGGGUUAAAAUCACUGUUCAAAACCUUUUGAGGAACAUGUUUCAGACCUUUUGGAGUUAGUUACACCAAAAAAAUGUAAAAUGAAAAAAAAAAAAUUGAGUUUUUCGGGCUUCCUAAAGGUAAUACCUGGUAAUAUGGAUAUGGGGCUAGGGUAAGGUUUAAGGCUUUUGGCGUUAGGGUUAAAAUCACUGUCCAAAACCUUUUUAGGAACAUGUUUCAGACCUUUUGGAGUUAGUUAGACCAAAAAAAAAAGAAAAAAAAAAAGUAUUUUGGGUGUUCGGGCCUCCUGAAGGUUACACAGGUAUUAUAUUAGGUUAUGGGGCUAGGGGAGGGUUUAAGGUUUUUGGCAUUAGGGUCAAAAUCACUGUCCAAAACCUUUGUAGGAACUCUUUUCAACCCUAUGGAGUUAGUUAGACCAAAAAAAAAAUGAAAAAAGAAAAAAAAAUAUUUGGGGUUUUCGGGCUUCCUGAAGGUAAUACCCGGGUAUUAGGUUAUGGGGCUAGGGUAGGGUUUAAGUUUUUUGGCGUUAGGGUUAAAAUCACUGUCCAAAACCUUUUUAGGAACUCUUUUCAAACCUUUUGGAGUGAGUAAGACCAAAAAAAAAGAAAAAUAAAAUUAAAAUAUUUGGGGUGUUCAGGCUUCCUGAAGGUAAUACCUGGGUAUUAGGUUAUGGGGCUAGGUAAAGGUUUAAGGUUUUUGGCGUCAGGGUUAAAAUAACUGUCCAAAACCUUUGUAAGAACUCUUUUCCAACCUUUUGCAGUUAGAUAGACGAAAAAAAAAAGAAAAAAAAAAUAUAUAUAUUUGGAGUGUUCGGGCUUCCUGAAAGUAUUACCCGGGUAUUAUGUUUUGGGGCUAGGGAAAGGUUUAAGGUUUUUGGCGUUAGGGUUAAAAUCACUGUCCAAAACCUUUGUAGGAACUCUUUUCCAACCUUUUGGAGUUGGUUACAACAACAAAAAUGUAAAAUGAAAAAAAAAAUAUUUGGGGUGUUCGGGCUUCCUGAAGGUAAUUCCCCGGGCAUUAGAUUUUAAGGCUAGGGUAAGGUUUAAGUUUUUUGGUGUUAGGGUUAAAAUCACUGUCCAAAACCUUUGUAGGAACUCUUUUCCAACCUUUUGGAGUUAGACCAAAAAAAAUGAAAAAAGAAAAAAAAAAUUGAGGUUUUUGGGCUUCCUGAAAGUAAUACCCGGGUAUAAGGUUAUUGGGCUAGGGUAAGGUUUAAGGUUUUUGGCGUUAGGGUUAAAAUCACUGUCCAAAACCUUUUUGGGAACAUGUUUCAGACCUUUUGGAGUUGGUUACACCAAAAAACAAAAUGUAAAAUGAAAAAAAAAAAAAAUUGGGGUGUUCGGGCUUCCUGAAGGUAAUACCCAGGUAUUAGGUUUUGGGGCUAGGGUAAGGUUUAAGUUUUUUGGCAUUAGGGUCAAAAUCACUGUCCAAAACCUUUGUAGGAACUCUUUUCCAACCCUAUGGAGUUAGUUAGACCAAAAAAAAAAAUGAAAAAAGAAGAAAAAAUAUUUGGGGUUUUCAGGCUUCCUGAAGGUAAUACCCGGGUAUUAGGUUAUGGGGCUAGGGUAGGGUUUAAGUUUUUUGGCGUUAGGGUUAAAAUCACUGUCCAAAACCUUUUUAGGAACUCUUUUCAAACCUUUUGGAGUGAGUAAGACCAAAAAAAAAGAAAAAUAAAAUUAAAAUAUUUGGGGUGUUCAGGCUUCCUGAAGGUAAUACCCGGGUAUUAGGUUAUGGGGCUAGGUAAAGGUUUAAGGUUUUUGGCGUCAGUGUUAAAAUAACUGUCCAAAACCUUUGUAAGAACUCUUUUCCAACCUUUUGCAGUUAGAUAGACGAAAAAAAAAGAAAAACAAUAUAUAUAUAUUUGGAGUGUUCGGGCUUCCUGAAAGUAUUACCCGGGUAUUAUGUUUUAGGGCUAGGGAAAGGUUUAAGGUUUUUGGCGUUAGGGUUAAAAUCACUGUCCAAAACCUUUGUAGGAACUCUUUUCCAACCUUUUGGAGUUAGUAAGACCAAAAAAAAAGAAAAAUGAAGAAAAAAUAUUUGGGGUUUUCGGGCUUCCUGAACGUAAUACCCGGGUACUAGAUUUUAAGGCAAGGGUAAGGUUUAAGGUUUUUUGCGUUAGGGUUAAAAUCACUGUCCAAAACCUUUGUAGGAACUCUUUUCCAACAUUUUGGAGUUAGUAAGACCAAAAAAAAAGAAAAAUGAAAAAAAAAUAUUUGGGGUGUUCAGGCUUCCUGAAGGUUAUACAGGUAUUAUAUUAGGUUAUGGGGCUAUGGUAAGGUUUAAGGUUUUUGGCGCUAGGGUUAAAAUCACUGUCCAAAACCUUUGUAGGAACUCUUUUCCAACCUUUUGGAGUUAGUUAGACCAAAAAAAAAUUAAAAAUGAAAAAAACAUAUUUGAGGUUUUCGGGCUUCCUGAAGGUAAUACCCGUGUAUUAGAUUAUAAGGCUAGGGUAAGGUUUAAGUUUUUUGGCGUUAGGGUUAAAAUCACUGUCCAAAACCUAUGUAGGAACUCUUUACCAAUUUUUUGGAGCUAGUUAGACCAAAAAAAAUGAAAAAUGAAGAAAAAAUAUUUGGGGUGUUCAGGCUUCCUAAAAGUAAUACCCUGGUAUUAGGUUAUGGGGCUAUGGUAAGGUUUAAGGUUUUCGGAAUUAGGGUUAAAAUCACUGUCCAAAACCUUUGAAGGAACUCUUUUCCAACCUUUUGGAGUUGGUUACACCAAAAAAAAUGUAAAAUGAAAAAAAAGAUAUUUGGGGUGUUCGGGCUUCCUGAAGGUAAUACCCGGGUAUUAGGUUUUGGGGAUAGGGUAAGGUUUAAGGUUUUUGGUGUUAGGGUUAAAAUCACUGUCCAAAACCUUUGUAGGAACUCUUUUCCAACCUUUUGGAGUUAGUUAGACCAAAAAAAAUGAAAAAUGAAGAAAAAAAAAAUAUUUGGGGUUUUCGGGCUUCCUGAAUGUAAUACCCGUGUAUUAGAUUUUAAGGCUAGGGUAAGGUUUAAGUUUUUUUGCAUUAGGGUUAAAAUCACUGUCCAAAACCUUUGUAGGAACUCUUUUCCAACCUUUUGAAGUUGGUUACACCAACAAAAAUGUUAAAUGAAAAAAAAAUUAUUUGGGGUUUUCUGGCUUCCUGAAUGUAAUACCCGGGUAUUAGAUUUUAAGGCUAGAGUAAGGUUUAAGUUUUUUUGGCGUUAGGGUUAAAAUCACUGUCCAAAACCUUUGUAGGAACUCUUUUCCAAUUCUUUGGAGCUAGUUAGACCAAAAAAAAAAAGAAAAAUGAAAAAAAAUAUAUUUGGGGUGUUCAGGCUUCCUGAAUGUAAUACCCGGGUAUUAGGUUAUGGGGCUAGGGUAAGGUUUAAGGUUUUUGGCGUUAGGUUUAAAAUCACUGUCCAAAACAUUUGUAGGAACUCUUUUCAAACCUUUUGGAGUUGGUAACACCAACAAAAAUGUAAAAUGAAAAAAAAAAAUUGGGGGUUUUCGGGCUCUUGAAGGUAAUACCCGGGUAUUAGGUUAUGGGGCUAUGGUAAUGUUUUAGGUUUUUGACAUUAGGGUGAAAAUCACUGUCCAAAACCUUUGUAGGAACUCUUUUCCAACCUUUUGGAGUUGGUUACACCAAAAAAAAGUAAAAUGAAAAAAAAAAUAUUUGGGGUUUUCAGGCUUCCUGAAGGUAAUACCCGGGUAUUAAGUUAUGGGGCUAUGGUAAGGUUUAAGGUUUUUGGCGAUAGGGUUAAAAUCACUGUCCAAAACCUUUGUAGGAACUCUUUUCCAACCUUUUGGAGCUAGUUUGACCAAAAAAAAAUGAAAAAUGAAAAAAAAAAUAUUUGGGGUUUUCGGGCUUCCUGAAUGUAAUACCCGGGUAUUAGAUUUUAAGGCUGGGGUAAGGUUUAAGUUUUUUGGCGUUAGGGUUAAAAUCACUGUCCAAAAAAUUUGUAGGAACUCUUUUCCAACCUUUUGGAGUUGGUUACACCAACAAAAAUGUAAAAUGAAAAAAAAAUAUUUGGGGUUUUCGGGCUUCCUAAAAGUAAUACCCUGGUAUUAGGUUAUGGGGCUAUGGUAAGGUUUAAGGUCUUUGGCGUUAGGGUUAAAAUCACUGUCCAAAACCUUUGUAGGAACUCUUUUCCAACCUUUUGGAGUUGGUUACACCAACAAAAAUGUAAAAUAAAAAAUUUAUAUAUUUGGGCAGUUCGGGCUUCCUGAAGGUAAUACCCGGGUAUUAGGUUUUGGGGCUAGGGUAAGGUUUAAGGUUUUUGGCGUUAGGGUUAAAAUCACUGUCCAAAACCUUUGUAGGAACUCUUUUCCAAACUUUUGGAGUUAGUUAGACCAAAAAAAAAAUGAAAAAUGUAAAAAAAAUAAUUGGGGUUUUCGGACUUCCUGAAUGUAAUACCCGGGUAUUAGAUUUUAAGGCUAGGGUAAGGUUUAAGUUUUUUGGCGUUAGGGUUAAAAUCACUGUCCAAAACCUUUGAAGGAACUCGUUUCCAAUUUUUUGGAGCUAGUUAGACCAAAAAAAAAAGGAAAAAUAUAAAAAAAAUAUUUGGGGUGUUCGGGCUUCCUAAAAGUAAUACCCGGUUAUUAGAUUAUGGGGCUAUGGUAAGGUUUAAGGUUUUUUGCAUUAUGGUUAAAAUCACUUUCCAAAACCUUUGUAGGAACUCUUUUCCAACCUUUUGGAGUUGGUUACACCAACAAAAAUGUAAAAUGAAAAAAAAAAAUAUUUGGGGUGUUCGGGCUUCCUGAAGGUAAUACCCGGGUAUUAGGUUAUGGGGCUAUGGUAAGGUUCAAGGUUUUUGCGUUAGGGUUAAAAUCACUGUCCAAAACUUUUGUAGGAAGUCUUUUCCAAUUUUUUGGAGCUACUUAGACUAAAAAAAAAAAAAAAAAUGAAAAAAAAAUAUUUGGGGUGUUCAGGCUUCCUAAAAGUAAUACCCGGGUAUUAGAUUAUGGGGCUAUGGUAAGGUUUAAGGUUUUUGGCAUUAGGGUUAAAAUCACUGUCCAAAACCUUUGUAGGAACUCUUUUAAAACCUUUUGGAGUUGGUUACACCAACAAAAAUGUAAAAUGAAAAAAAUAUAUUUUUGGGGUGUUCGGGCUUCCUGAAGGUCAUACCCGGGUAUUAGGUUUUGGAGAUAGAGUAAGUUUUAAGGUUUUUGGCUUUAGUUUUAAAAUCACUGUCCAAAACCUUUGUAGGAACUCUUUUCCAACCUUUUGGAGUUGGUUACACCAAAAAAAAGUAAAAUGAAAAAAAAAAUAUUUGGGGUUUUCAGGCUUCCUGAAGGUAAUACCCGGGUAUUAAGUUAUGGGGCUAUGGUAAGGUUUAAGGUUUUUGGCGAUAGGGUUAAAAUCACUGUCCAAAACCUUUGUAGGAACUCUUUUCCAACCUUUUGGAGCUAGUUUGACCAAAAAAAAAUGAAAAAUCAAAAAAAAAAUAUUGGGGGUUUUCGGGCUUCCUGAAUGUAAUACCCGGGUAUUAGAUUUUAAGGCUGGGGUAAGGUUUAAGUUUUUUGGCGUUAGGGUUAAAAUCACUGUCCAAAAAAUUUGUAGGAACUCUUUUCCAACCUUUUGGAGUUGGUUACACCAACAAAAAUGUAAAAUGAAAAAAAAAUAUUUGGGGUUUUCGGGCUUCCUAAAAGUAAUACCCUGGUAUUAGGUUAUGGGGCUAUGGUAAGGUUUAAGGUCUUUGGCGUUAGGGUUAAAAUCACUGUCCAAAACCUUUGUAGGAACUCUUUUCCAACCUUUUGGAGUUGGUUACACCAACAAAAAUGUAAAAUGAAAAAAAAAGAUAUUUGGGGUGUUCGGGCUUCCUGAAGGUAAUACUCGGGUAUUAGGUUUUGGGGAUAGGGUAAGGUUUAAGGUUUUUGGCGUUAGGGUUAAAAUCACUGUCCAAAACCUUUGUAGGAACUCUUUUCCAAACUUUUGGAGUUAGUUAGACCAAAAAAAAAAUGAAAAAUGUAAAAAAAAUAAUUGGGGUUUUCGGACUUCCUGAAUGUAAUACCCGGGUAUUAGAUUUUAAGGCUAGGGUAAGGUUUAAGUUUUUUGGCGUUAGGGUUAAAAUCACUGUCCAAAACCUUUGAAGGAACUCGUUUCCAAUUUUUUGGAGCUAGUUAGACCAAAAAAAAAAAGGAAAAAUAUAAAAAAAAAUAUUUGGGGUGUUCGGGCUUCCUAAAAGUAAUACCCGGUUAUUAGAUUAUGGGGCUAUGGUAAGGUUUAAGGUUUUUUGCAUUAUGGUUAAAAUCACUUUCCAAAAACUUUGUAGGAACUCUUUUCCAACCUUUUGGAGUUGGUUACACCAACAAAAAUGUAAAAUGAAAAAAAAAAUAUUUGGGGUGUUCGGGCUUCCUGAAGUUAAUACCCGGGUAUUAGGUUAUGGGGCUAUGGUAAGGUUUAAGGUUUUUGGCGUUAGGGUUAAAAUCACUGUCCAAAACCUUUGUAGGAACUCUUUUCCAAUUUUUUGGAGCUACUUAGACCAAAAAAAAAGAAAAAUGAAAAAAAAAAAUAUUUGGGGUGUUCAGGCUUCCUAAAAGUAAUACCCGGGUAUUAGAUUAUGGGGCUAUGGUAAGGUUUAAGGUUUUUGGCAUUAGGGUUAAAAUCACUGUCCAAAACCUUUGUAGGAACUCUUUUAAAACCUUUUGGAGUUGGUUACACCAACAAAAAUGUAAAAUGAAAAAAAUAUAUUUUUGGGGUGUUCGGGCUUCCUGAAGGUCAUACCCGGGUAUUAGGUUUUGGAGAUAGAGUAAGUUUUAAGGUUUUUGGCUUUAGUUUUAAAAUCACUGUCCAAAACCUUUGUAGGAACUCUUUUCCAACCUUUUGGAGUUAGUUAGACCAAAAAAAAAUGAAAAAUGAAAAAAAAAAUAUUUGGGGUUUUCGAGCUUCCUGAAUGUAAUACCCGGGUAUUAGAUUUUAAGGCUAGGGUAAGGUUUAAGUUUUUUGGCGUUAGGGUUAAAAUCACUGUCCAAAACCUUUGUAGGAACUCUUUUCCAAUUUUUUGGAGCUAGUUAGACCAACAAAAAAAUGAAAAAUGAAAAAAUAUAUAUUUGGGGUGUUCAGGCUUCCUAAAAGUAAUACCCGGGUAUUAGAUUAUGGGGCUAUGGUAAGGUUUAAGGUUUUUGGCAUUAGGGUUAAAAUCACUGUCCAAAACCUUUGUAGGAACUCUAUUCCAACCUUUGGAGUUGGUUACACCAACAAAAAUGUAAAAUGAAAAAAAAAGAUAUUUGGGGUGUUCGGGUUUCCUGAAGGUAACACUCGGGUAUUAGGUUUUGGGGAUAGGGUAAGGUUUAAGGUUUUUGGCAUUAGGGUUAAAAUCACUGUCCAAAACCUUUGUAGGAACUCUUUUCCAAACUUUUGGAGUUAGUUAGACCAAAAAAAAAAAAGAAAAAUGUAAAAAAAAUAAUCGGGGUUUUCGGGCUUCCUGAAUGUAAUACCCGGGUAUUAGAUUUUAAGGCUAUGGUAAGGUUUAAGGUUUUUGGCAUAAUGGUUAAAAUCACUGUCCAAAAACUUUGUAGGAACUCUUUUCCAACCUUUUGGAGUUGGUUACACCAACAAAAAUGUAAAAUGAAAAAAAAAAUAUUUGGGGUGUUCGGGCUUCCUGAAGGUAAUACCCGGGUAUUAGGUUAUGGGGCUAUGGUAAGGUUUAAGGUUUUUGGCAUUAGGGUUAAAAUCACUGUCCAAAACCUUUGUAGGAACUCUAUUCCAACCUUUUGGAGUUAGUUACACCAACAAAAAUGUAAAAUGAAAAAAAUAUAUAUUUCGGGUUUUCUGGCUUCCUGAAGGUAAUCCCCGGUUUUAGAUUAUGGGGCUAUGGUAAGGUUUAAGGUUUUUGGCAUAAGGGUUAAAAUCACUGUCCAAAACCUUUGUAGGAACUCUAUUCCAACCUUUGGAGUUGGUUACACCAACAAAAAUGUAAAAUGAAAAAAAAAUAUUUGGGGUUUUCGGGCUUCCUGAAUGUAAUACCCGGGUAUUAGAUUAUGGGGCUAUGGUAAGGUUUAAGGUUUUUGGCAUAAGGGUUAAAAUCACUGUCCAAAACCUUUGUAGGAACUCUAUUCCAACCUUUGGAGUUGGUUACACCAACAAAAAUGUAAAAUGAAAAAAAAAAAUAUUUGAGGUGUUCAGGCUUCCUGAAGGUAAUACCCGGGUAUUAGGUUAUGGGGCUAUGGUAAGGUUUUAGGUCUUUGGCGUUAGGGUUAAAAUCACUGUCCAAAACCUUUGUAGGAACUCUUUUCCAACCUUUUGGAGUUGGUUACACCAACAAAAAUGUAAAAUGAAAAAAAAAAGAUAUUUGGGGUGUUCGGGUUUCCUGAAGGUAACACUCGGGUAUUAGGUUUUGGGGAUAGGGUAAGGUUUAAGGUUUUUGGCGUUAGGGUUAAAAUCACUGUCCAAAACCUUUGUAGGAACUCUUUUCCAAACUUUUGGAGUUAGUUAGACCAAAAAAAAAAUUGAAAAAUGUAAAAAAAAUAAUCAGGGUUUUCGGGCUUCCUGAAUGUAAUACCCGGGUAUUAGAUUUUAAGGCUAUGGUAAGGUUUAAGGUUUUUGGCAUUAUGGUUAAAAUCACUGUCCAAAAACUUUGUAGGAACUCUUUUCCAACCUUUUGGAGUUGGUUACACCAACAAAAAUGUAAAAUGAAAAAAAAAAAUAUUUGGGGUGUUCGGGCUUCCUGAAGGUAAUACCCGGGUAUUAGGUUAUGGGGCUAUGGUAAGGUUUAAGGUUUUUGGCAUUAGGGUUAAAAUCACUGUCCAAAACCUUUGUAGGAACUCUAUUCCAACCUUUUGGAGUUGGUUACACCAACAAAAAUGUAAAAUGAAAAAAAUAUAUAUUUCGGGUUUUCUGGCUUCCUGAAGGUAAUCCCCGGUUUUAGAUUAUGGGGCUAUGGUAAGGUUUAAGGUUUUUGGCGUUAGGGUUAAAAUCACUGUCCAAAACCUUUGUAGGAACUCUUUUCCAACCUUUUGGAGUUAGUUAGACCAAAAAAAAAAUGAAAAAUGAAAAAAAAAAUAUUUGGGGUUUUCGGGCUUCCUGAAUGUAAUACCCGGGUAUUAGGUUAUGGGGCUUGGGAAAGGUUUAAGGUUUUUGGCAUUAGGGUUGAAAUCACUGUCCAAAACCUUUGUUGGAACUCUUUUCCAACCUUUUGGAGUUGGUUACACCAACAAAAAUGUAAAAUGAAAAAAAAAUAUUUGGGGUGUUCGGGCUUCCUGAAGGUAAUACCUGGGAAUUAAAUUAUGGGGCUAUGGUAAGGUUUAAAUUUUUUGGGGUUAGGGUUAAAAUCACUGUCCAAAACCUUUGUAGGAACUCUUUUCCAACCUUUUGGAGUUAGUUAGACAAAAAAAAAAAGAAAAAUGAAAAAAAAAUAUUUGGGGUGUUCAGGCUUCCUGAAUGUAAUACCCGGGUAUUAGGUUAUGGGGCUAUGGUAAGGUUUAAGGUUUUUGGCAUUAGGGUUAAAAUCACUGUCCAAAACCUUUGUAGGAACUCUUUUCCAACCUUUUGGAGUUGGUUACACCAACAAAAAUGUAAAAUGUGAAACUCAAGUUCACCAAACACGCAAAUUCAAGUUCAAAAACACCACAAACUCAAGUUCAACAAACACCACAAACUCAAGUUCAAACACAACACAAACUAGAGUUCAAAUAACACACAAAGUCAAGUUCAACAAACACACAAAGUCAAGUUCAAAAACACCACACCCUCAAGUUCAAAAACACCACAAACUCAAGAUCAAAUACACAAGAAACUCAAGUUCAAACAUGACAAAACUCAAGUUCAACACACACCACAAACUCAAGUUCAAACGCGAAACAUACUCAAGUUCAAAAUCACCACAAACUCAAGUUCAAACACAAAAAACUCAAGUUCAACAAACACACAGACUCAAGUUGAAACACAUCACAAACUCAAGUUCAAAAAACACCACAAACUCAAGUUCAAAAACGGAACAAAAUCAAGUUCCAAAACACCACAACCUCAAGUUCAAAGAAACAAACAAACUCAAGUUCAACCAACGCGACAAACUCAAGUUUAACAAUUGCAACCAAUUAAAGUUCACUAAAAACCACAGAUUCAAGAUUAAUAAUUGCCAAAACCUCAAGUUCAACAAAAACACAAACUCAAGUUUAACCAGAACCCAAAUCUCAAGUUUAACAAUUGCCACAACCUCAAGUUCAACAAUUAACCAAACUCAAGUUUAAACACACCACAAACUCAAGUUCAAACACGAAACAAAUUCAAGUUCAACCAACACCCAAAUCUCAAGUUUAAAAAUUGCCACAACCUCAAGUAAAAACAUACACACAAACUCAAGUUCAAACACACCACAAACUCAAGUUCAACCAAGACCCAAAUCUCAAGUUUAACAAAUUCCACACCCUCAAGUUCAAAAACACCACACCCUCAAGUUCAAAAACACCACAUACUCAAGUUCAAAAACACCACAAACUCAAGUUCAAAAACACAAGAAUCUCAAGUUCAAACACGACAAACUCAAGUUCAAACACGACACAAACUCAAGUUCAACAAUCAAACAAACUCAAGUUCAACAAAAACACAAAAUCAAGUUCAAAAACACCACAAACUCGACUUCAAACACAACACACACUGAAGUUCAACAAACACACAAACUGAAGUUCAAAAACACCACAAACUCAAGUUGAAACAUGACACAAACUCAAAUUCAACAAACACACAAACUCAAAUUCAACCAACUCCUAAUUCUCAAGUUAAACAAUUUCCACAACUUUAAGAUCAAAAACGACACCAACUCAGGUUCAAAAACGACACAAACUCAAGUUGAAAAACACCAAAAACUCAAGUUCAACCAAUACCCAUUUCUCAAGUUUAACAAUUUCCACAACCUCAAGUUAAAAAAAAACACAGACUCAAGCACAAAAACGCCACAAACUCAAGUUCAAACAUGAAACAUACUCAAGUUCAACAAACACACAAUCUCAAGUUCAACCAAAAACACCUGACUCUCAUGUUUAACAAUUGCCACAACCUCAAGUUCAAAAACAACAGAAACUCAAGUUCAAAAAAACACAAACUCAAGUUCACCAAACACGCAAAUUCAAGUUCAAAAACACCACAAACUCAAGUUCAACAAACACCACAAACUCAAGUUCAAACACAACACAAACUCAAGUUCAACAAACACACAAAUUCAAGUUCAAAAACACCACAAACUCAAUUGUAAACACGACACAAAAUCAAGUUCAACAAACUAUAGUUCAAACACAACACAAACUAGAGUUCAACCAAGACCCAAAGUCAAGUUCAACAAACACACCCUCAAGUUCAAAAACCACACCCUCAAGUUCAAAAACACCACAAACUCAAGAUCAAAUACACAACAAACUCAAGUUCAAACAUGACAAAACUCAAGUUCAAACACGACAAACUCAAGUUCAAACACGACACAAACUCAAGGUCAACAAUCAAACAAACUCAAGAUCAACAAAAACACAAAAUCAAGUUAAAAAAUUCCACAAACUCAAGUUCAAACACAACACAAACUGAAGUUCAAAAAACAAACAAACUCAAGUUCAAAAACGCCAAAAACUCAAGUUGAGAAACAACACAGAAUCAAUUUCAACAAACACACAAACUCUAGUUCAACCAAUAGCUGAUUCUCAAGUUUAACAAAUUCAACAACCUCUUGUUCAAAAACAACAGAAACUCAAGUUCAACAAACAACAAACUCAAGUUCAAACAUGACACAAACUCAAGUUCAACCAACACCCAAAUCUCAAGUUUAACAAUUGGCACAACCUCAAGUUCAACAAACACACAAACUCAAGUUUAAACACACAACAAACUCAAGUUCAAAAAAUGCCACAAACUCAAGUUCAACAAUUGCCACCAAUUAAAGUUCACUAAAAACCACAGAUUCAAUUUCAACAAUUGCCACACACUCAAGUUCAAACACACCACAAACUCAAGUUCAAAUACGACACAAGCUUAAGUUCAACCAACACCCAAAUAUCAAGUUUAACAUUUGCCACAACCUCAAGUUCAACAAACACACAGUCAAUUUCAACAAACGCCACAAACUCAAGUUAAAACAUGAAACAUACUCAAGUCAAAAAAACCCACAUAAUCAAAUUCAACAUUCACACAAACUCAAGUUCAAAAAACAAACAAACUCAAGUUCAACAAACACACAAACUCAAGUUCAACCACUACCCAAUUCUCAAGUUUAACAAAUUCCACACCCUCAAGUUCAAAAACACCACAAACUCAAGUUCAAAAAAAUGACAAACACAAGUUCAAACAUGACACAAACUCAAGUUCAAAAAACGCCACAAACUCAAGUUCAAACACCAAACAAACUCAAGUUCAAAAACACCACAAACUCAUGUUCAAUAACACAACACAAACUCAAGUUCAACAAACACCACAAACUCAAGUUCAAACACGACACAAACUUAAGUUGAACAAAAACCACAAACUCAAGUCCAAAUACAAGCAAACUCAAGUUCAAACACGACACAAACUAUAGUUCAAUCAACAACCAAAUCUCAAGUUUAACAAUUGCCACAACCUUGAGUUAAAAAACCACACAAACUCAAGUUCAACAAACGCCGCAAACUCAAGUUCAAACACAACAUAAACUCAAGUUCAAAAACACCAAAAAAUCAAGUUCAAACAUGACACAAACUCAAGUUCAACAAAAACCACAAACUCAAGUUCAAACACGAUACAAACUAUAGUUCAAUCAACCACCAAAUCUAAAGUUUAACAAUUGCCACAACCUUAAGUUCAACAACCACACAAACUCAAGUUCAACAAAUGCCACAAACUCAAGUUCAAAACAUGAAACAAACUCAUGUUCAAAAACAACACAAACUUAAGUUCAACUUAAACACAAACUCAAGUUUAACAAUUGCCACAACCUCAAGUUCAACAAAUUCCACACCCUCAAGUUCAAAUCCGAAACAAACUCAAGUUCAAUAACACAACACAAACUCAAGUUCAAACACAACACAAACUCAAGUUCAAAAACACCAAAAAAAUCAAGUUCAAACAUGACACAAACUCAAGUUCAACAAAAACCACAAACUCAAGUUCAAACACGACACAAACUAUAGUUCAAUCAACAACCAAAUCUAAAGUUUAACAAUUGCCACAACCUUAAGUUCAACAACCACACAAACUCAAGUUCAAAUACGACACAAACUUAAGUUCAACCAACACCCAAAUAUCAAGUUUAACAUUUGCCACAACCUCAAGUUCAACAAACACACAGUCAAUUUCAACAAACGCCACAAACUCAAGUUAAAACAUGAAACAUACUCAAGUCAAAAAACCCACAUAAUCAAAUUCAACAUUCACACAAACUCAAGUUCAAAAACGAAACAAACUCAAGUUCAACAAACACACAAACUCAAGUUCAACCACUACCCAAUUCUCAAGUUUAACAAAUUCCACACCCUCAAGUUCAAAAACACCACAAACUCAAGUUCAAAAAAAUGACAAACACAAGUUCAAACAUGACACAAACUCAAGUUCAAAAAACGCCACAAACUCAAGUUCAAACACCAAACAAACUCAAGUUCAAAAACACCACAAACUCAUGUUCAAUAACACAACACAAACUCAAGUUCAACAAAAACCACAAACUCAAGUUCAAACACGACACAAACUUAAGUUGAACAAAAACCACAAACUCAAGUCCAAAUACAAGCAAACUCAAGUUCAAACACGACACAAACUAUAGUUCAAUCAACAACCAAAUCUCAAGUUUAACAAUUGCCACAACCUUGAGUUAAAAAACCACACAAACUCAAGUUCAACAAACGCCGCAAACUCAAGUUCAAACACAACAUAAACUCAAGUUCAAAAACACCAAAAAAUCAAGUUCAAACAUGACACAAACUCAAGUUCAACAAAAACCACAAACUCAAGUUCAAACACGAUACAAACUAUAGUUCAAUCAACCACCAAAUCUAAAGUUUAACAAUUGCCACAACCUUAAGUUCAACAACCACACAAACUCAAGUUCAACAAAUGCCACAAACUCAAGUUCAAAACAUGAAACAAACUCAUGUUCAAAAACAACAAAAACUUAAGUUCAACUUAAACACAAACUCAAGUUUAACAAUUGCCACAACCUCAAGUUCAACAAAUUCCACACCCUCAAGUUCAAAUCCGAAACAAACUCAAGUUCAAUAACACAACACAAACUCAAGUUCAAACACAACACAAACUCAAGUUCAAAAACACCAAAAAAUCAAGUUCAAACAUGACACAAACUCAAGUUCAACAAAAACCACAAACUCAAGUUCAAACACGACACAAACUAUAGUUCAAUCAACAACCAAAUCUAAAGUUUAACAAUUGCCACAACCUUAAGUUCAACAACCACACAAACUCAAGUUCAACAAAUGCCACAAACUCAAAUUCAAAACAUGAAACAAACUCAUGUUCAAAAACAAUACAAACUUAAGUUCAACUUAAACACAAACUCAAGUUUAACAAUUGCCACAACCUCAAGUUCAACAAAUUCCACACCCUCAAGUUCAAAUCCGAAACAAACUCAAGUUCAAUAACACAACACAAACUCAAGUUCAAACACAACACAAACUCAAGUUCAAAAACACCAAAAAAUCAAGUUCAAACAUGACACAAACUCAAGUUCAACAAACCACAAACUCAAGUUCAAACACGACACAAACUAUAGUUCAAUCAACAACCAAAUCUAAAGUUUAACAAUUGCCACAACCUUAAGUUCAACAACCACACAAACUCAAGUUCAACUUAAACACAAACUCAAGUUUAACAAUUGCCACAACCUCAAGUUCAACAAAUUCCACACCCUCAAGUUCAAAUACACCACAAACUCAAGUUCAAAAACAUGACAAACACAAGUUCAAACACGACACAAACUCAAGUUCAGAAACACCACCAACUCAAGUUCAACAAAUUUCACAAACUAAAGUUCAAUAAACAAACAAAAUCAAGUUCAAAAUCACCACAAACUCAAGUUCAAACAUGACACAAACUCAAGUUCAACAAACACCACAAACUCAAGUUCAAACACAACAAAAACUCAAGUUCAACAAACACACAAACUCAAGUUCAAAAAGACCACAAACUCAAGUUCAACAAACUAACAAAAUCAAGUUCAAAAACACCACAAACUCAAGUGCAAACAUGACACAAACUCAAGCUCAAGAAACACCACAAACUCAAGUUCAAACACAACAAAAACUUAAGUUCAACAAACACACAAACUCAAGUUCAAAAACACCACAAACUCAAUUGCAAACAUGACACAAUCUCAAGUUCAAACACAACACAAACUUAAGUUCAAAAAACACAAUAACUCAAGUUCAACAAAAACCACAAACUCAAGUUCAACCAACACCUGAUUCUCAAGUUUCACAAUUUCCACAACCUCAAGUAAAAAAACAACAGAAACUCAAAACAAACAACAUGAACUCAAGUUCAAACACGACACAAACUCAAGUUCAACCAACACCCAAAUUUCAAGUUAAAAAAUUACCACAACCUCAAGUUCAACAAACACACAAACUCAAGUUCAAACUCACCACAAACAAGUUUAAACACAACACAGACUUAAGUUCAAAAACAAAAAAUUUAAGUUCAACCAAUACCCAAUUCUCAAGUUUAACAAUUUCCACAACCUCAAGUUAAAAAAAACCACAAUCUCAAGUUCAAAAACACCACAAACUUAAGUUCAAACACGACACAAACUCAAGUUCAACAAACACACAAACUCAAGUUCAUACACUACACAAAACUCAAGUUCAACAUACACACAAACUCAAGUGCAAAAACACCACAAACUCAAGUUCAAAAACGACACGAACUCAAGUUCAACAAACACACUAACUAAUGUUCAACCAAUACCUGAUUCUAAAGUUUAACAAUUUCCACAACCUCAAGUAAAAAAACAACAGAAACUCAAGUUCAAAAAACACACAAACUCAAGUUCACCAAACACGCAACUCAAGUUCAAAAACACCACAAACUCAAGGUCAAACACGACACCAACUCAAAUUCAAGAACACCAAAAACUCAAGUUCAACCAACACCCAAAUCUCAAGUUCAACAAACGCCACAAACUCAAGUUCAAACACGAAACAAACUCAAGUUCAUAAACACCACAAACUCAAGUUCAAACACAACACAAACUCAAGUUCAACAAACACACAAACUCAAGUUCAAACACGACACAAACUCAAGUUCAAGAAACACACAAACUCAAGUUAAACAAUUGCCACAACCUAAAGUUCAACAAACACACAAACUUAAGUUCAACAAAAUGCCACAAACUCAAGUUCAAACACGAAACAAACUCAAGUUCAAAAACACCACAAACUCAAGUUCAAACACAACACAAACUCAAGUUCAAAAAGACCACAAACUCAAGUUCAAACACGACACAAACUCAAGUUCAACCAACACCCAAAUUUCAAGUUCAAAAAUUACCACAACCUCAAGUUCAACAAACACACAAACUCAAGUUCAAACUCACCACAAACUCAAGUUUAAACACAACACAGACUCAAGUUCAAGAACAACAGAAAUUCAAGUUCAACCAAUACCCAAUUCUCAAGUUUAACAAUUUCCACAACCUCACAUCAAAAAAAACCACAAACUCAAGUUCAAAAACACCACAAACUCAAGUUCAAACACAACACAAACUCAAGUUCAAAAAGACCACAAACUCAAGUUCAAACACGACACAAACUCAAGUUCAACAAACCGCACAAACUCAAGUUCAAACACGAAACAAACUCAAGUUCAACAACACCACAAACUCAAGUUCAAACACGACACAAACUCAAGUUCAACCAACACCCAAAUUUCAAGUUCAAAAAUUACCACAACCUCAAGUUCAACAAACACACAAACUCAAGUUCAAACUCACCACAAACUCAAGUUUAAACACAACACACACUCAAGUUCAAAAACAACAAAAAUUCAAGUUCAACCAAUACCCAAUUCUCAAGUUUAACAAUUUCCACAACCGCAAGUCAAAAAAAACCACAAACUCAAGUUCAAAAACACCACAAACUUAAGUUCAAACACAACACAAAAUCAAGUUCAACAUACACACAAACUCAAGUUCAAAAACGACACAAACUCAAGUUCAACAAACACAGUAACUAAUGUUCAACUAAUACCUGAUUCUCAACUUUAACAAUUUCCACAACCUCAAGUAAAAAAACAACAGAAACUCAAGUUCAAAAAACACACAAACUCAAGUUCACCAAACACGAAACAAACUCAAGUUCAAAAACACCACAAACUCAAGUUCAAACACAACACAAACUCAAGUUCAACAAACACACAACUCAAGUUCAAACAUGACACAAACUCAAGUUAAAGAAACACACAAACUCAAGUUUAACAAUUGCCACAACCUAAAGAUCAACAAACACACAAACUUAAGUUCAACAAACGCCACAAACUCAAGUUCAAACACGAAACAAACUCAAGUUCAAAAACACCACAAACUCAAGUUCAAACACAACACAAACUCAAGUUCAACAAACACCACAAACUCAAGUUCAAACAUGACACAAACUCAAGUUCAACAAACGGCACAAACUCAAGUUCAAACACGAAACAAACUCAAGUUCAACAACACCACAAACUCAGGUUCAAACACAACACAAACUCAAGUUCAAACACGACACAAACUCAAGUUCAAACAAUACCCAAUUCUCAAGUUUAACAAAUUCCACAACCUUAAGUUCAAAGACACCAAGAACCCAAGUUCAACCAAUAUCCAAUUCUCAAGUUUAACAAUUUUUCUCAACCUCAAUUUCAAAAACAACACAGACUCAAGUUAAAAAAAAACACAAACUUAAGUUCAAACAAGACACAAACUCAGGUUCAACAAGAACAACAAACUCAAGUUCAACCAACACCUGAUUGUAAUGUUUAAAAAUUUUCACAAUCUCAAGUUCAAAAAACACACAAACUCAAGUUCAAACACACCACAAACUCAAGGUCAAACACGACACAAACUCGAGUUAGACAAACACACAAACUAAGGUUCAACCAAUACCCAAUUCUCAAGUUUAACAAAUUCCAAACCCUCAAGUUCAAAAACACCACAAACUCAAGUUGAAAAAAAACCCACAAACUCAAGUUCAACC